AUUGAACGCUCGCGGCAUGCCUAACACAUGCAAGUCGAACGAGCGGCGGACGGGUGAGUAAUGUAUGGGGACCUGCCCGAUAGAGGGGGAUAACUACUGGAAAGGGUGGCUAAUACCGCAUACUAUCGGAUGAGCCGAUAUGGGAUUAGCUAGUAGGUGGGGUAAAGGCUCACCAAGGCGACGAUCCCUAGCUGGUCUGAGAGGAUGAUCAGCCACACUGGGACUGAGACACGGCCCAGACUCCUACGGGAGGCAGCAGUGGGGAAUUUUGGACAAUGGGCGAAAGCCUGAUGCAGCCAUGCCGCGUGUAUGAUGAAGGCCUUCGGGUUGUAAAGUACUUUUGGCAGGGAAGCGGUACCUGCAGAAUAAGCACCGGCUAACUACGUGCCAGCAGCCGCGGUAAUUC
rnacentral:rRNA from 1 species